AACGAACGCUGGCGGCAUGCCUAACACAUGCAAGUCGAACGAGACCUUCGGGUCUAGUGGCGCACGGGUGCGUAACGCGUGGGAACCUGCCCUUAGGUUCGGAAUAACUCCCCGAAAGGGGUGCUAAUACCGGAUAAUGUCUUCGGACCAAAGAUUUAUCGCCUUUGGAUGGGCCCGCGUUGGAUUAGCUAGUUGGUAGGGUAAAAGCCUACCAAGGCGACGAUCCAUAGCUGGUCUGAGAGGAUGACCAGCCACACUGGGACUGAGACACGGCCCAGACUCCUACGGGAGGCAGCAGUGGGGAAUAUUGGACAAUGGGCGAAAGCCUGAUCCAGCAAUGCCGCGCGAGUGAUGAAGGCCUUAGGGUUGUAAAGCUCUUUUACCCGGGAUGAUAAUGACAGUACCGGGAGAAUAAGCUCCGGCUAACUCCGUG
rnacentral:rRNA from 1 species